GACAUUUGCAGGUGAAUAUCGUUACUGAGAGUUAGUAUCACUCUUAUAUAUGCAUCUAUUAUUCUAAAUCUUCCACAUAUAAUUUGCAAGUCCUCUCACGUAAGCAACAUUUUGAUAUCCAACGGCAUGCCAGGCGCUGGAAUUGGUCUUCCUUGUUGGUGACAACAAAGAGAUCAACAGUACAGGAAAUUUUCUCCAGAA
rnacentral:misc_RNA from 1 species